rnacentral:rRNA from 1 species
UACAGAGGGUGCGAGCGUUGUUCGGAAUUAUUGGGCGUAAAGCGCAUGUAGGCGGCCUCUUAAGUCGCUUGUGAAAGCUCCAGGCUCAACCUGGAAAGUGCGGGCGAGACUGGGAGGCUUGAGUGCCGGAGAGGGUGGCGGAAUUCCCGGUGUAGAGGUGAAAUUCGUAGAUAUCGGGAGGAACACCAGAGGCGAAGGCGGCCACCUGGAAGGACACUGACGCUGAGACGCGAGAGCGUGGGGAGCAAACAGG